UACAGAGGGGGCAAGCGUUGUUCGGAAUUACUGAGCGUAAAGGGCGCGUAGGCGGCCUGUUAAGUCGAACGUGAAAUCCCCGGGCUCAACCCGGGAACUGCGUCUGAUACUGGAUGGCUUGAAUCCGGGAGAGGGAUGCAGAAUUCCAGGUGUAGCGGUGAAAUGCGUAGAUAUCUGGAGGAAUACCGGUGGCGAAGGCGGCAUCCUGGACCGGCAUUGACGCUGAGGAGCGAAAGCCAGGGGAGCAAACGGG
rnacentral:rRNA from 1 species